CUUCUGCAAGAGAUUUUACAUCAUCUUCGUGAUCUAAGAAGUGUAGAACUCCGAGUGAGGAACAUGGGGGAUGGUGCUCUAUAAUGACAUUGUGCUCAACUAUGUCAAAGAAGAUAUCAGAUUGCAUUGUGGAAGCUGAUUAAAACUGAUGCAGGUUGUAGAUGGGAGACCCUGACUUUCUUCUUCAUAUGAUACAAUCAUACAAGAUCAAAUGCAAUGCCAAAUUUUUCAGCAAAAUAUUUCAUAUGGGAAGUCCCUUGAUGGAGAGGGAGGCUUCUGCUAUGAUCUGUUUGGAGGUCAUGGUGGACUGCAAGAUAUGAAAGUCUGCCUAUUUUCCCUUCUUUUUUUUUUUU
rnacentral:misc_RNA from 1 species